rnacentral:rRNA from 1 species
UCGUACGCACUGGCCCAACUGAUUGUUARUGCUUGCAUUAACUUGACGUUGGAUUCCCAGUGAGUGGCGGACGGGUGAGUAACACGUAGGUAACCUGCCCCGGAGCGGGGGAUAACAUUUGGAAACAGAUGCUAMUACCGCAUAACAACGAAGAUCGCAUGAUCUUCGUUUGAAAGAUGGCUUUGGCUAUCACUCUGGGAUGGACCUGCGGUGCAUUAGCUAGUUGGUGAGGUAAUAGCUCACCAAGGCKAUGAUGCAUAACCGAGUUGAGAGACUGAUCGGCCACAAUGGAACUGAGACACGGUCCAUACUCCUACGGGAGGCAGCAGUAGGGAAUCUUCCACAAUGGGCGCAAGCCUGAUGGAGCAACMCCGCGUGAGUGAAGAAGGGUUUCGGCUCGUAAAACUCUGUUGUUGGARAAGAACGUACCUGAGAGUAACUGUUCAKGUASUGACGGUAUCCAACCAGAAAGUCYGGCUAACUACGUGCCASCRSCCGCGGUAAUACGUAGGUGGCAAGCKUUAUCCKGAUUUAUUGKGCGUAAAGCGAGCGCAGGCGGUUGCUUAGGUCUGAUGUGAAAGCCUU